rnacentral:rRNA from 1 species
UACGGAAGGCAGCAGUGGGGAAUAUUGCACAAUGGGCGAAAGCCUGAUGCAGCUAUGCCGCGUGCAUGAAGAAGGCCUUAGGGUUGUAAAGUACUUUCAUCGGGGAGGAAAAACAAAACUAAUAAUUUUAUUUCUUGACGUUACCCGAAAAAGAAGCACCGGCUAACUCCGUGCCAGCAGCCGCGGUAAUACGGAGGGUGCUAGCGUUAAUCAGAAUUACUGGGCGUAAAGAGCACGUAGGUGGUUUUUUUAAGUCAGAUGUGAAAUCCCUGGGCUUAACCUGGAACUGCAUUUUUGAAACUGAAAUACUAGAGUAUCGUAGAGGGAGGUAGAAUUCUAGGUGUAGCGGUGAAAUGCGUAGAUAUCUGGAGGAAUACCUGUGGCGAAAGCGGCCUCCUAAACGAAUACUGACACUGAGGUGCGAAAGCGUGGGGAGCAAACAGGGAUUAGAUA